rnacentral:rRNA from 1 species
AGAGUUUGAUUAUGGCUCAGGAUGAACGCUAGCUACAGGCUUAACACAUGCAAGUCGAGGGGCAGCAUUGGAGUAGCAAUACUCAGAUGGCGACCGGCGCACGGGUGAGUAACACGUAUCCAACCUGCCGCUUACUCGGGGAUAGCCUUUCGAAAGAAAGAUUAAUACCCGAUGGUAUAAAGAGUUCGCAUGUUCUCUUUAUUAAGGAAUUUCGGUAAGCGAUGGGGAUGCGUUCCAUUAGAUAGUUGGCGGGGUAACGGCCCACCAAGUCUACGAUGGAUAGGGGUUCUGAGAGGAAGGUCCCCCACAUUGGAACUGAGACACGGUCCAAACUCCUACGGGAGGCAGCAGUGAGGAAUAUUGGUCAAUGGACGAGAGUCUGAACCAGCCAAAAGUAGCGUGAAGGAUGACUGCCCUAUGGGUUGUAAACUUCUUUUAUAAGGGAAUAAAGUGAGGGACGUGUCCCUUUUUGUAUGUACCUUAUGAAUAAGGAUCGGCUAACUCCGUGCCAGCCGCGGC